GUAUGUCGUAUAUCUGUUACCUCGCCUUUAUCGAAAUCCAUGUUCCUUCAUCUUAGUUUUUAGAGAAAUAGUAAUUGUGAAUUUUUCUUCAGAAGGUUGCAGAGGGAAAUGAUUUAUUCAAAAUAAGCCAAUCUAAAUAUGUAGUUACAUUUAGACUAGAAUUCAAUACGAUAGCUGAAUUUUAAUUGCACAUUAGAGAGUUGAAGUUCAAAAUUUAUGACAGAAAGCUAUUUCUUCAGGUUGAUAUGACUGCACUCAAUCAUAUGACUGAUGAGGAUCUGAAGGCCAUGGGUAUACCAAUGGGACCAAGAAAGAAGAUACUUUUAGCCUUGGAGGCAAAAGGCUGACAUCUUGGUCGUGUAUUUGUAUACCCUAGUUAUAACUUACUGCACAUUAAAAGGCUUAUAAUUAUGUUUAUACUUUGAACCUGGUCAAGCUUGCUUGUAAUUUUUUAGAAAUCCUUUUGGUGCUUCUAUUGCCAUUUCAAUCUUCUUUCUUCCCAUGCGUUGCUGAAAGUGGCCUAAACAAGCUAUUGACAUUUAAAAGUAGGAAAUCAUGAAGAUUAAUUGAUAAGAGUUUUUUUGUUUAGCUGGAGGGACCUGGUUUGAUGGGUGAUGGUGAUGGUGGAUGCUUUGUAAAAUGAAGUUUGUCUGUUUUCCUUUUUUACUUUGAAACCAAACAUGCUUUUCCUUUUUAA